rnacentral:rRNA from 1 species
UACAGAGGUGGCAAGCGUUGUUCGGAAUUACUGGGCGUAAAGGGCGCGUAGGCGGUCUUCUAAGUCUUGUGUGAAAUCCCUCGGCUCAACUGAGGAACUGCACGGGAUACUGGAUGACUUGAGUUCGGGAGAGGGAAGCGGAAUUCCGGGUGUAGCGGUGAAAUGCGUAGAUAUCCGGAGGAACACCGGUGGCGAAGGCGGCUUCCUGGACCGACACUGACGCUGAGGCGCGAAAGCUAGGGGAGCAAACGGG